UCUAGUUUAAACAAAACAGAGAAGCCCUCCCCACCCUUUUUCCUUUUCAGUUAGGGUUUUUGAAACCCCUUUUUGCGUCGCCGUCUUCAUGGCUCUCUGAAGCCGUUGAGUUCUUCGCCGGCGAGGUGGUCAAAGCCACCAAGAUCCAAAUAAGUUUCUUCUUUUUCUUAUUUAAAAGAUUUAUAGUGGAAAUGAUGAUAUAAAUCGAAGGAAAAAUAAAUAAAUAACGAAAAUGAACUAAAGAAAUAAGGGAAACAGAAAUUAAAAUCCACCUUCUUUCUUCUGUUGCUCCGCUUUUGAUUUUCAAUAUAUGUGUCUAAUAGUAUCCUCUUUUUUAAGAAAUAGAACAGCAAUAUAUAAAAGAGAUCCCCCAAAAAAAAAUCCCUUUUUUUUUCUUUUUGUUUGGCUUCUAUAGCCAUUUACAUUGUUUUUUUUUAACCCUUUCUGCUACUUGCGUGUCUGCUCCAUCUUGCAGAGUAGUUGAUGGAGGUGGAAUGGGGGUUGACAGAGACGAUGGGACAGAGGCGGCGGCUAGUGGAGGCAGGUGGCUGCCAGUGCUAGGGUUUUUCCUUUUUAUUGUUUUUCAUUAUUGGUUUGGGCUAGGUUAGUGAUUUGGACUGAUGUAAUUUGGGUUUGGGUAUUUGUAUUUGUUUGGUUGGGUUUUAUUGGGUUCUGGGCUGUUUGUUUAGAAAUUGGGUUUUGGGUUGUUGGUUGUAAAUAGGUAAUUUGGGCUUCUACAGUUGUCCCUCUUUGCUCAUUGUCGUGCAACGAGAAUAGAGCAAAGAUUUUCAAUGAAGACCAAAUUUGCCCGGUCUUGCUGAGUCUUGACUUGCUUGGUGCUCUUCUUAUUCAGAGAGUCUCCUUCUAGUCCACUGUAUCUUGUAGCUUUGGUUCAAUCCACUGUAUCUUCUGACAUAUGCCUUGUAGCUUCAAUCUCCUCUAAUGUAACUUCAAGGAUAUGAGAUUUGUGGCUUCGAUCCACUUCACUUUUAACUUCAGAAAGAUAAGAUCUACAACUUCAAUCUGCUUCUCUAUUGCUUCAGUGAGAUGAGGUUUGUGAUCUUCUCUUUUGUAACUUUAGAAAGGCAAAAUCUAACAUCCUCGAUCAGCUCCACUGCAACUUUAGGGGGACAAAACUUGAAACUUUGACCUGCUCCACUGCAACUUCAGAGAGGCCAGAUCUAGUGUCUCUCAUCAGCUUCAAUCUUUAUUCUUUACUCGGCGUGUGAUCUUGAGCUCAACUCAUUUCUCGCAAUAUGAAUUGACUCCUUUUUUAAAAAAAACAUUAAAACAGAAACUGAAAAUAGCUCAGCGCAUGAGCCAAGGCUUAACUCACUUCUCGUAAUAUGAGUUGAUUCUUGACAAACAGAAACUUAAAAUACCUCAGCGUGUUCUGAGGCUCAACUCACCUCUCGUAAUAUGAGUUGACUUUUGACAAAAGAAAUUUGAAAAACAGAAACUGAAAAUACCUCAGCAUGUGAGCCGAGGCCCAACUCACCUCUCGCAAUAUAAGUUGAUUUUUUUUUGAAACUUAAUUUGAAAAGAUUUUGAAAAUACCUCGUCAUGUGACCCGGGGCUCAACUCACUUCUCACAAUAUGAGUUGAUUUUUUUGAAAAAUAGAAUUUGAAAAUACCUCAGCGUGCCCUGAGGUUCAACUCACAUCUCGCAAUAUGAGUUGAUUUUUGAAAAAUAUAAAUUGAAAAAAACAGAAAUUGAAAAUACCUCAGUACGUGAACCAAGGUUCAACUCACCUCUCGCAAUAUGAGUUGACUUUUUUGAAAAGUAGAAUUUGAAAAUCAGAAAUUGAAAAUACCUCAGCGUGUCCUGAGGCUCAACUCACCUCUCGCAAUAUGAGUUGAUUUUUGAAAAAUAUAAAUUGAAAAGCAGAAAUGGAAAAGUAGAAAUUGAAAAGCAGAAAUUGAAAAUACCUCAGCGUGCCCUGAGGCUCAACUCACCUCUCGCAAUAUGAGUUGAUUUUUUUGAAAAGUAGAAUUUGAAAAACGGAAAUUGAAAAUACCUCAGCGUGUCCUGAGGCUCAACUCACCUCUCGCAAUAUGAGUUGAUUUUUGGAAAAGUAGAAAUUAAAAACAAAAUUUUGAACAACAGAAUUUGAAAAUACCUCGGUAUGUGACCCGAGGCUCAACUCACCUCUCGCAAUAUGAGUUGAUUUCUGAAAAUAGAAAUAAAGACAUCAGAAUACCAAAACCAGUCAUUUGGAAGAACUCAGGUGUCUUUUCUUUUGAUUCAGUACAGCUAUCAUCAUAUCUUCUUGCUCUGCUAGAGUACCUGUAUAUGUCAUGCAUGAUGUUAUCAUGAUAUGCACAUGUUCGUCUUAAAUGCCCUUAUGCCUACAUGAUUAUGCAAUGCGCCUUAGGCAUGUUUGUCGUAUGUCCUUUUCGUCAGGAUUUCUGAUGAUCUAUGUUCAUUGCUUUGACUCUUGACUUUCUCUUCAGGCUUUGUACCUGUCUUCAAGCUUCACGAGUAAUCUGCUUUUCUCAGAUAUCGCUCUUUUGCCCCUGGUUGAACUUUGAAUUUGCUUUGAGGUUCUUGUAUUUGUCAAAUUUUCAUCCAAGUAAUGCUUAACAUUUCUUUUGUUUAGAGUAUAUCAUUUCACUCUUUAUCAUGUAAAUAAACCACAUAAUGAUAUGCAUGAAAAUGGUCAGGUAGGGACAAAAAAGGUACCUCACAUUCAUUUAUUUCAAAAGUAACAAACAAACAAAGUUAACCAAGAAUAGUAAAGAAGGAUCGCAUUCAAUGGAUAUAGAUGCUCUAGAUAUUCAACACAUGAACUCUUCCACGUUUCUUAAUCAAGAAUCUUUUCGAGCAAGGCUUCUUGCGUAGAAAAUCUCGAGCUUUAAGAAAUGCUUCAAAUACUAUAGCCUUGUCGUUUGACCCACUAUUCAAAACGCCUUGCUUUUUAAGCCUGGGUUUCCUUCAUUAGAACGCUCUUUCGGGUUUUCAUCCUAAUCUUUUGUGUUAAUCAAGACGCCCUUUUCGGGUUUUCACCUUGAUCAUCUUUCUCUCUUUUUUCUUUUUUUACAUUACCCUUUUUGGGUUUUCAUCUUGAUUUUCUUUUUUUAAGCAUAAUAUUUCUUCACAUCAUCUGAGUUCACUGGAUUUGGUAACUCCUUCCCAUCCAUCUCUGUGAGAAUCAAAGCUCCACCCGAGAAUGCCUUCUUUAUAACAUAUGGUCCUUCCCAAUUUGGUGCCCAUUUUUCUCGAAAGUCUUUUUGUAUUGGGAGAAUCUUUUUCAGCACGAGUUCUCCUUCGUGGAAUUCUCUUGACCGUACUUUCUUGUCAUGGGCCACGAUCAUUCUCUUCUGGUACAUCUACCCGUGAUAAAUUACCUUUAGACGUUUUUCCUCGAUGAGGUUUAACUGGUCAUAUCGAGCUCGAACCCAUUCUGCUUCUUCUAAUUUCGACUCCAUUAAGACUCGUAGAGAAAGGAUCUCAACUUCGAUAGGUAGCACAGCUUCCAUCCCAUAGACCAGAGGGAAAGGAGUUGCUCCCGUAGAUGUUCGCACAGAUGUACGAUAUGCAUACAAAGCAAAUAGUAGCUUUUCGUGCCAGUCUUUAUAUGUCUCAGUCAUUUUCCCAAUAAUCUUCUUAAUAUUCUUGUUGGUCGCUUCAACAGCUCCGUUCAUUUUCGAGCGAUAGGGUGAUGGGUUAUGAUGCUUUAUUUGAAAUUGCUCACACACUUCUUUCAUCAUCUUGUUGUUCAGAUUCAUGGCGUUAUCUGAAAUGAUUCUUUCAGGCAAACCAUAUCGACAAAUGAUUUCCUUUUUCAAAAACUUACAAACUGCAGUCUUCGUCACAUUGGCAAAUGAAGCGGCUUCUAUCCAUUUUGUGAAGUAAUCAAGAACCACAAAAAUGAACCGGUGUCCAUUAGAAGCUUUUGGGGAAAUUGGCCCUAUAACAUCCAUGCCCCACAUAGAAAAAGGUCACGGAGAAGUCAUGACAUGAAGUGGUGAAGGGGCUACAUGGAUUUUAUCGCCGUAAAUUUGGCAUUUGUGGUAUUUUCUUGCAAAACUAAUGCAGUCACUUUCCAUUGUCAGCCAGUAAUAACCGAGUCUCAUAAUCUUCCUGGCCAUAGUGAAACCAUUGGCAUGUGUCCCACAAAUUCCUUCAUGGACAUUUUCAAGUAUUUUCCUAGCUUCAAUAGUAUCCAUGCAUCUCAAGAGCACUUGAUUUUUUCCUCUUUUAUGCAGGAUAUCCUCAUCAACAACAAAUCCCGUUGCUAUUCUUCUGAUUGUUCUUUUGUCGUUCUCAUUUGCUUGCUUGGUAUACCUUUGAUUCUUGAUGUAUUCUAAGAUAUCAUGAAACCAUGGCCGUCCAUCUGGCUCUUCUUCAAUGUUGAAACAAUGUGCAGGGACUUCAUAUAUGCUCAUUUGAAGAGGCAUUAUUUCUGUUUCUCUAUUUGCUUUAAACAUUGAAGCCAAAGUGGCCAGGGCAUCAGCUAACUGGUUUUCUUCUCGUGGGAAGUAAUUAAAAGUUAUUUCUUUGAAUUCUUUAAUCAACCCUGCCACGAGAUCACUGUAUUUGACUAAUUUUGAAUCCCUCACUUCCCAAUCUCCACGGAUCUGAUAAAUCACCAAUGCUGAGUCUCCGUAUACCUCUAAAGUUUGGAUGUUUUAUUCAAUUGCUGCACGAAGUCCCAUGAUACAGGCCUCAUAUUCUGCUAUGUUAUUGGUACAGAAGAAAUUCAGCCUGGCAGUGAACGGAUAAUGGUUCCCUUCUGGUGAUACUAAGACUGCUCCAAUCCCAUGCCCCAAUGCGUUCGAUGCACUAUCAAAGCUCAUCAUCCAUGACUUCUCUUCUGAUGAUUCGCCCUCUUUUUCUGUAAUGCACAUCAAGUCUUCAUCCGGGAAAUCAAAUCUCAAUGGCUCGUAUUCAUCGGUUGUUCGAGUUGCUAAGAAAUCAGCUAUUGUGCUCCCUUUUAUAGACUUCUGACUUACAUAGGCAAUGUCGUAUUCUGAUAAAAGGAUCUGCCAUCGUGCCAUUCUUCCUGAGAGUAUUGGUGAUUCCAUCAUGUAUUUUAUUGGGUCCAGCUUCGAAAUUAGCCAUGUCGUAUGAUACAACAUAUAUUGCCUGAGUCUCCGAGCUACCCAAACCAGAGCGCAACAGUGUUUUUCAAUGGACGAAUUUUUUGCCUCGUGUUCAUUGAACUUUUUGCUGAGGUAGUAGAUCACUUUUUCUUUCUUUCCUGACUCGUCGUGUUGCCCCAAUACGCAACCCAUUGAAUUUUCAAACACUGUCAGAUACAAAAUUAAUGGUCUACCUAGAAUUGGCAGUACUAGUACUAGGGGAUUAGACAAAUACUGCUUUAUCUUGUCAAAAGCCUCUUGGUAUUCCUCGUUCCAUUCUCCGGGAUUAUGUUUUCGAAGAAGCUGAAAGAUUGGAUCACACUGGUUGGUAAGUUGAGCAAUGAACCGAGCGAUGUAGUUCAACCUCCCUAAAAAUCCUCUGACCUCUUUUUGCGUGCGCGGAGAUGGUAGUUCUUGAAUGGCUUUUAUCUUAUCUGGAUCAACUUCAAUGCCUAUUUCGCUGACGAUGAAGCCUAGCAAUUUUUCCGAGGUAACUCUAAACGUGCAUUUGGCCGGAUUGAGCUUUAGCUGGAACUUUCUCAGUCUGUUGAACAACUUCUUCAGGUUCACUACAUGCUCUUCUUCCCCUCGGGAUUUAGCAAUCAUAUCGUCGAUGUAGACCUCUAUUUCUUUAUGCAUCAUGUCAUGAAAUAACGUCACCAUAGCCCUCUGAUAUGUUGCCCCAGCAUUCUUUAACCCAAAUGGCAUCAUCUUGUAGCAGAAUAUUCUCCACAUUGUUACGAAGGUAGUUUUCUCCAUAUCCUCAAGGACCAUCUUGAUCUGAUUAUACCCCGAGAAUCCAUCCAUGAAAGAAAACAAUGAAUGUUUUGCUGUGUUAUCCACCAACGUAUCAAUGUGUGGUAAGGGAAAAUUAUCUUUAGGACUUACUCGAUUCAGGUCACGAUAAUCUACACACAUUCAUACUUUGCCGUCUUUCUUUGGUACCGGGACUAUGUUAGCCACCCAUUCUGGAUAUGUGGAGGCUUAUAGGAAGCCAGCAUCAAAUUGUUUCUUGACUUUCUCUUUUAUUUUCAACAACAUCUCAGGUCUCAUCCGUCUUAGCUUUUGUUGAAUGGGUUUGCAUUCUGGCUUUAAUAGGAGCUUAUGGACUACUACAUCUUCAUCCAAUCCUGGCAUGUCCUGAUAUGACCAUGCGAAUACAUCUUUGUACUCAAGGAGCAAAGUAAUCAAAUUAUGCCUGGUGCCCCCUGAAAUAGAGGUGCCAAUCUUCACUUCUUGCUUCCUUUCUUCAGUUCCCAAAUUUAUUGUUUCAACAGAUUCUUGAUGAGGCAAAAUCUGUUUAUCCUCUUGUUCCAUCAUUCUUAGCAGGUCAGGAGACGAGACAUAGUUUUCAGCAUUUUCUUCGGCUUCGAAUUCCCCUAAACAAACAACCUUCUCAAAAUCAAUUUCAGGACUCGUAACGGGUUUGUUCAUGCUGUUGAUAUCCGAGCACCUGAAAGUUGAAUGGAAAAGGAAACUAUAGAGGGGCAUCCAAGUAUUGGAACCAACAAACGAAAUGUUAUGGCAUGGUAUGAGGCAAAUGUACAGAUAGGCUAUGAAAUGAGAAGAUGAUUAUGAAUUUAGUGAUAAUGCGAAAGAUCGUGACAAAAUGCAUCUUCAUUGAUUUUCAUUUAAAUGAUAAAGAGCGAAUGUAAGCUCUUACAAAAGAAUUCUAUUAUAUCUAAGGACACAAUAGACGGUUAAUGUUUGAGCAUUACUCUGAAGACAUAAAAACUACAAGAAGGUCCUUGGCAGUCCAAUUAUUCAACAUGAAACCAGGAGGACAAGGGCGUAUCGUUGAAACAUCUUUAAUUGCCUCACUUCCUUUGUCAAUGACAUUUAUACUGACAUUCUGAAGACCCCUUUCAAUUAAUAACAGCGUGCUUUGUAUAUUAUCCUGUCCAGGGUAUAUCAUCCCUGCAGAUGUAAAUGUUUUUGACAAAGGAGGGUACGUUAUGGGCUCCCAUUCUAUUUCUUAGCCCAAAGUUCUCGCAAUCCUUCUCUUCUGAUCAUUCUUCCACUGUUUUAUUCUUUGACGCACAUCUGGUUGGAAACCUAAAUCGUAUCGAGCUUUGUGAUGUACCGACUUUAAGGCUCUGACUAUUCCUUGCAGAUACCUUCCCAAACCUUUCCUUGCUCGGGCUCCUCUUCCCACACUCAUCUUGAUACCCAUCUUGGUAUUUCUUGACAGUUUUGGCGUGGGAAUUUUGUUUCCCUCCGCGACGAAUGUGGCAUUGACAAAUUCAAGGGAUCGGAAGGAACGUUCUAUAGCAUCUUUACUCACUUCAAUGUAUGGUGCGUCGGUAGAAAUAGAUGCUACAAUAUCUUCUUCUCCCUCGACGGUGACCAAACAGCCAUCCAUGAUAAAUUUCACCUUUUGAUGGAGGGAUGAUGGGACUGCUCCAGCAGAAUGGAUCCAGGGUCUUCCCAAAAGGCAAUUGUAUGAUGGUGAAAUGUCCAUGACUUGGAACUCGACAUCAUAUAUGUAGGGACCCACUUCUAGAGGGCUCUCAAUCUUCCCCAUGACUUCCCGUCUUAUCCCAUUGAAUGCCCUUACUGUGGAAUGACAGGGCCUUAAAUAGGACAGAUCCAUCGGAAUUUUGGAAAGUGUGGCCAAGGGCAUGACAUUGAGUGUCGAUCCAUUAUCGAUGAGCACGUUCAGUAUUAUGUAACCCUUGCAGCGGGUUGUGAUAUGCAAUACUUUCACGGAGCCUCUACCAUUGGGGAGUAUUUCAUCAUUACUAAAAGAAAUGAAAUUAUCCGCAUUCAAGUUAUUCACCCAUCUGUCGAGCUUCUCAACGGGUAUAUUGUUUGCCACAUAAUUUGAUUCAACACCUUUAACAAGGCAUUCCGGUACGGUUCUGAAUUUAGCAGCAGAGAUAAUACCGAAAUUCGUGCUGACUGCUUACUCAAUUGUUCCACCACGUUGUACUCAUUGUGUUUGAUAAAUUUUAAGAAUUCCUGUGCUUCCUCCUCGUCCACAGGCUUUUAGCUUCUUGCUCAGGCACAGUUUCAUGCUCAUCUUCGGUCACACGCAUUUGUGCUUUUCCUUUUUUUUUCAAGUCACCAUUCUUCUUUGCCGGCUCAAUCUCUUUUGAAUAACAUCUCCCACUACGAGUGAAAUGACCUACUUCCCCAACAAUUCCAAUCAUGGCUUAGGGUUUUUCAUCUUCAGGUGUAACGAUAUUGACGUUGUAUUUCCAUGGUACUGCUUUAUUGUCCUUGUAGGGGAAAGGAGAUGGCACCUCGAUUAUCAGUUUUGGUUUCACCGUCUCCUUCUUCGUGUCAUAAUAAAUUAUUAACGGUCAGUCGGUGCUAUACGAGAAACCUGACGAUUGAUGGUCAGAGGCGCAUAUUUCUCCUCUAUCGGCCUCUUCGCCUUUAUAAAAGAUCUCAAUCUCCUUAUUAUCCAUCAUGUUUUGAAGUAAUCUUUUAAAUUCCUCACAUGACUGAAUGUCGUACCCUACAAUUCCAUGGAAAUCACAAAAACCUUGACUUCCUUCUCUAAAAUUUCUAUCAGGGCGACAGAGCAAUCCCUUCUUAACUAGUACCUUCCAGAUUUUUUGCAGAGGCGUUCUUAUUUCAGAAACCCUUCUUCUACUUUGCCGCUUGUCCUCUUCUCCCACUGCGCUCACAUUCCCUUCGGUGUGAUUUGGGAAUGGGUUCCCAGUCAUACCGCCAGUACCAUCAAAUCAUAGAAUGCCCGUAUCGAUGAGUCCUUGAACUCUCCUUUUGAAGGCAAGGCAUUUCUCUGUAGAAUGCCCCUGGUUCCCGGCAUAGUAUGCACAACUAGCAUUUGGAUCGUACCAUUUCGAGUAUGGAGGCUUAAGGGGUACCAUGUAAUGGGGAGAUAUUAAUUGCUUCUCCAAGAGUUUUGGGUACAGUUCCCCAUACGACAUAGGGAUAGGGGUAAAUUGCGGUCUCUCGGGAUUAGGCCUUGCUGGUCUUGGUUCAUUUCUUGGUUGGCUUUGAGAGGGUAGAAUGUUUUGUGGGAAUGUGGUGAUGGGCCUUUGGUUGUUCGUGGCGUAUACAGGAUAGGAAUGAGGUGGUGCUUGGUAGUAAGGGGUCUGAUAAUAGAAAUUUAGAGGUGGAUAAUUUCGAGGUCGGGGUUGGUUUGGAUAUCGAUUAGGUGUAUAAUGGCUUCCCAUUCCCACCAUAUGGGCUUCUGGUUCCUUCUUCUUCAUGGACGCUGCCCUUUUUGAACUUUCUGAACCUUCCAUCCUCCCACUUUUGAUGGCGCCCCCGGAUAUUACGAUAUCUAAAAAAUCCUUCGUAGCACUUCUCACCAGCUUGUCAUAGAAUGGUGCUCUUAGAGUAUUGAUGAAAAGGACUGUUAUCUCAGUCUUAGUCAGUGGAGGCUCCAUUUGGGCCGAGGUAUCUCUCCACCUUUGCGCAUACUGUCUAAAGGUUUCUGCUGGUUUCUUUUUCAUCAUUUGUAGGGUCAUUCAAUCAGGCACCAUAUCCGAUACAUGCUUGUACUGCUCACAGAAGGCUGAUGCCAAGUCUUUCUAGGAUCGGAUCUUUUCCCUACUAAGCUGGUUGUACCAUCGAAGAGCCAAUCCUACUAGACUAUCUUGAAAACAAUGUAUGAGUAGCUUAUCUUCGUUCACAUAACCGGUCAUUUUUCAGCAAAACAUGACAAGAUGCGCUUUUGGACACCUUGUCCCAUCGUACUUUUUGAAAUCUGGUACUUUAAAUUUCGGAUGCAGAACCAGAUCGGGUACCAAACUGAGCUCUUUGGCGCAGAGAAGGCUUCAGUACCUUCUAUUGCUUUGAGUCUUUCCUCUAAGCUCCUAUACUUCUCUUGAGCCUCGUGAUCACCAGUUUUCAACUUGGCUAUUUCUGCUGGAUCGUCCAAGUCUGGAACUAGUGGAUCAGCAAGACUAGCCACCGGGUUUGAUAUGAACACUCCCUGCCCCAGAUUAGCAGUUGGUACAGGUCGCUACUCCAGGCCUGUAGGUUCUCCUUGAGGGCAUUCUCUUUGCAUUACAUGUGCGUAAGGUGGAGUGAAUCUUGGGGGAUAGAGCGGAUCUUGAUCGAGGUUAACCCUUGACUGCGGUUCCACAACGUCAGGGUUCGUAGGUCCCUUUCAUUUUACUAGAGCUGACAUCAUUUCCAUCAUCUUGGCUAUUUGGUCUCUUUGUUCGAGCGAUUUUUCCCGGGAUCUCACCAUUAAGUCUCUUGUCUCUUGCUGUGACUUAGCCAGUUGUUCUUGUAAUUCCCUUUAGACUCUUUCCAUCCUUUCGAUUCUUUCAUUGAACUCAGCCUCCAUUGUUCUAGCUUGUCGACGCAUUUUAUACGAAUGGCGUGAUUCCAGAUUUGAAGUGUUGUGACUGCGAAUUAUAUAAUUCUAACCUUAGCGAAUGAUUAUGGGAUAGAUACAUGCAAUGAAUGAAUGAGUGCAUAAAUGAAUGUUAAUCAUGAAUGAAAUGUAAGAAAUGGGUGUUGAUUUCAAGAUAGCCCCUAUUUAGGCAUUUCAUUCAUAAAAAGAGUUCAUUACAAAACAUUUUUCCAUUUUCGAUUCAACCAUUACACAAACUUCCUAGCUAUAUUGCCGUAUUUCUUUACUCGUGCUAAGAACUCUGAUAUGUUUGAUCUUCGACUUGGAAGGAAUUGGCAAAUGAGAAUUUCAGCUUCUUUCGAUAAUUGUACCACGUGCAUGGCUACCCCACGAAUUUCAUUUAUCAAACAGCUAAGUUGCAUUUCUUUUUCUUGGAGGCCCUCUUCGUAAGCACGAAUGUCUCUAUCAUAUUGACUAUUCUUUUCUUCCAAAGCCUUCAAGAGAGUAUCUAGCUGUUGUUGACGAUCUUGCAGCAUAUCUUCUAAAUCCCGUAUCCUCUCUUUUAGUUUUUGAUGUUUAGAUCGACUAGUCAUUACCUCGGCAGACACAGCUUCAUAUUCAGUGUUCUUCUUCCUUAGUUCUAUCAUCGCCCGUGUAGCCUUUUCUUCUUCUUUCUUCGCUUUACCUUUCCAAAAUUCUAUCCCUCCUUUGAUGUUGCUAAUUUCUUCUUUCCAUUCUGCUGACGACUUGCCUAGCCCACUGUUCUUUAUUGUGCCUCUUAACUUCUUAUUUUCUAGAUGGAGAUCCCUUAAGUCAUUUCUUAUGACUUCAGCUUCUUUUUGUACUUUCUCGGUUCUAGAUUUUUCAGUCUGAACAUCGAUAUUCAAUUGAUAGUUUUCCUCUUGAAGAGCACUAAGGUUCCAAGACAUCUUGGCCUUUUCUCGUUCAAAUUCUUGUCUUGCCAUUUCUAACUCAGAUGGCACUUCUUCCGAGAAAGGAUUCUGGACAGUGUAGUUUGUUGACGAGAUUUUUUGACUGUUCACCCGUUGCUUCCUCCAUAUGUCGUAAUCUUGGGUGGAGUGUCAGCAUAUAAAGCUAAUUCCAUGAGAUGAAUUCUUUUCCAAGACUUUGCGAUAGCUUGAACCCUCUUCAUAUAUCCCUCGCUCGUAAAAGCAAACUCAGACUAUGCUAAUCCUCCAGUGGCGGGUAUGAAUUGUCGCGAAGAAAAUUGCCUUUGGACUAAUAGCGGGGUAUAUCCAACUCCUCCCCAUAAUCCGAGUAGUGGCACCCAGUCUUGAUCUCCGACCUUGUAUAACAGAACCGAAGGGCGGAUCCAUGGUGCUCUCCAGGUUACAUCUUCAGCUCGAAGGUUCUAAAAAACUGAAACCCAAUGUUCUUCAGUGACAUCCUUUGGCCAUUCUCUCUCAAGACAGGCUUCUAAUAGGGCGAAAGUUUUUGAAAACAUGUGAUACGGUGUGCGCUCUACUUUUCAGAAAUGGCUCAAAAUCCAGAUAUUUAAUAACUGCGCGCAUCUGAUAAAGCGUCCUUUUCCCAUUUUCUACAACUGUUUAAGGAUCUGAAGGUCUCGGCGAAGAUAGUCGGGACAGGGUUAAUUCCUUGUUUUAAUCUUUCGAAGAAAUCCACCACCGCAACUUCUAUGUGUCUAAGGACUUUCAGGAAGAUGAUCAAACCGUAAAUAGCCAAAGCAAAUAGAUUUACCCUUUUCAACAUGUCGGGAUAGUUCAGAACCAAAUCUCGUAGGGAAGACCAUGGAAUACAAAUUGUUUCAUUCUUCUUCUUUAUCUGUUUUUCGGCCCAUGCGUCAGUCAUGUCUGUCAAUCUCACUAACUUUUUCUUGAAGGUCAUCGGCUUAGGCUCCUUCACAUAUACUUUAUAGAAUUGCACAUUUUCAACACGAAGCAAAGCAACGUACUCCUCUAUAGUCGGAGUCAUGUCUUCUUGAUUGAAAGUAAAACAUUGGUAGGCCGGAUCCCAAAAUCUGAUCAUGGCUUGAAUCAAUCGCUCAUCUAUGUUGACAGCAAUCAAGUUGGCUAUGUCCCCAUAUCUUUCAGUGAAGAUACCCCUAGUGUCCGAGUCCCACUGAUUCCAAACCCGAACCAAAUUUUCAAGGUUAUUCUGGCGAACAUUCACAGUUACGUGCUCGGGCAGAUUGGCAAUACAUCCCUCUACUAGACUAUCCCCUUUUUCUUUCUGAGUUUUUAGAGACCAGUCCCGAACCACGGCAUUCUUUUCGGUUGUUUGUAUAAUUGACUCUUCCAUUAGAAACACGUUUUUUGGCAACCGAUCUCUAGUCAACACCUUCCUAAUAUGAUGCCAUUAAUGCAUGAUGAGAAAAUAAAAACACAGACAAAUAUCUUGGUUAGUACCAACAAAUAUGAAUCAAAAUAGAAAGUGUAAAUGUCAAAGAAAUAAAAGGUAAGAGGCGUUUCUCCCAUGUACUUAUUUUGGUGACUUUUAACGGACGGAAGUUAGGCAUGGCUCUAAUUAGGUGGCUCAUACGGUUCACUAUAUGCGGUUUUGGUUCUAUACAGGUACUCAAAUUGCCCGUACUAUCAUCUACGGAGAUUAAUACGAAGCCUCGGUCGUAGUCCAUCGCAAGCUCACGAGUUCAAUUCGAGGGAUCACAUUUACUUAUGCCUAUACGGAGGGACAAGUUAACUCACGAAAGCAUAAGUCAUAUGUAACCCGAAAGUAUUCACUAGCCUGUGCGGAGGGACGGGUUAACUCAUGAAGGCACAGCGUUUACUUUCACUUAAACGGACGGAGCCAAGGUAGAGAGCUCAUGUUAUGCAAAAUGCAAGUGCACGGUGUGUGGGGAGAAACUCACAAACCUUUACGUUUUAUUAAAAAACUAAACUACAAAAACUAAAAAACUUAGAGUUGAAAACCAACAAGAUAAAACAAGUUAGAAGAAUAUUUAUAGCAUGAUGCAAAUGCAUGAAUUUUUUUAAAACAAAUUUUGAAGAUCACGACUAAAUGUUAAUUUGAACAAGGAAGUUCGAAAAUUCUGACAACGCGAGUUUAAUUCCAGACACGACUCUCAAAAAGGGUCCCCAGUGGAGUCGCCAGCUGUAGUGACGUAAAAAAUUUUAGCUUGGUCGCUAAUUGUGGCGAUUUAGAGGAAACUUGGCAAACUGAAAUUUGAUUUUAAAAUAAAGAGGGGAGUCGCCACUGAUCUUUUUUUUAGGGCGUGAUCGGACACCUAAUGAAUCAUAUUCUUUUGAAAGAAAAUUCAUUUUUUUUAAAUAAAAAUAAGACCGAGUUUAGGUUUACGUCAAAAGCCAAAGAAAAAUUAGGGUUCGGGAGUCGGUUACGCGCGAGGAAGGUAUUAGCACCCUCAUGACGCCCAAAAUUGGUAUAUUGCAAAACACAUGUAGUCUUAAUUUUCAAAGAUACGAGUUCAAUGUAACAUUUAGUCGUGAUCUGGUUGAAACAUGAGAAUUUUCAAUUCUUUUGAUUUUUGAUAAGGACAUACCGUUUUAACACAAGACGAUUGAUGUUCACCCAACAUAGCGAUGAAAUCGAUGACUAAACGUUAAAUUGUUACGUUGGCUUAUUUAUCGAAAUUAAUAAAAAUGAAUCAAAUAUUUUUUUAAAAAUAAAAUAAAUAAAUAAAAAGAAAUCAUAAGUGAAUAAAUGGUACAAACGAUGAUAUGAGGAGUGACGAAUAUGAACAUAUAAUAUAAGAAUGCUAGGAUAAAGAUAAAAAUAAAAACAAUAUUUACAAUAAAGUAUAAAUAAUAAUAUGCUAAUAAUAUAAUAAGAAAAACAAACUAAUACAGAAUGAGUAAGAACCGAAUUGGAAAUACAUCGAAGCAAAUAAUAAAUAUGAUAAUAAAAUUAAAAACAAUAACCAUGCAUGCGAUAUUAAACGUAGUAAUAAUGUUAAACAAAAAAAACAUUAAAGUUAUAUAUAUAUGAACAUAUAAUAGUAUGUAAAGUGACGAAAAACAUAAUAUUAAUAAUACUAAUUAAAUUAUAUACAUAAUAAUGGGUAAAAAAGAAAGGUACAUUAAUAGUAUUGAAGAUAUGUACAUGAUGUAUAGAAAAAUAUUAAAAAUAUAUAUACGCAAUAUAAGGUGGAAAAUAAUUUAUAGAGAUGUAUACAUAAUAUCUAUUAAAAGAAUAUACACAUAAUAUAUAUACAUAUUUUUCAAAAAAGAUAGUAAUAAUAUGAAAAGAAUAACUAUUAAUACUGUUACAUAAAGUGUAUAUAUAUAUGCAUGUUAGAAAUAUUAAUUGUGGCUAGAACUGAUACUACUAAUAGUGGAAACUAAUAAUAUAAUAUAAAAUAAAGAAAUAAUAGUAAUAAUAAUAAAUAAAAUAUUGAUAUUUUAAUAACAAGGAUAUAAGUUAAUGACAAUAAUAAUAAAAAUGGAUAUGAAAUAAUAAUAUGGCAUUAAAAAUAUAUACACAUAACAUAGUACUUAGGAACAUAUAUACUAGGUGAUAUAAAAAUAUAUAUAUGGAAGAGUAUAAGAAAUAUAUCACUAAUACAUUAAGAAUAUAUGCAUAAUAUAUACAAUAUAUAUACAAUAUAUGCUUAUACUAGAAAUUAUAAUAAUAUAAAAAAAACUAUUCGUACACUACGUAAAUAUGUACCUAUAUAUAUUAAAGAUAUAUACAUAUAAUAAAACAUAUACUAAUAUUAAUAAUAAUAAUAAUAAAGAUAAUAUAAAAAAUACAUACAUGAAAUAGUAUAAAAAAUAUAUAUAACUAAUAACAUUAAAAUAUAUACAUAACAUAUAUAAAAUAUAUAAUUGAUAAUAUUAAGAAUACAUGCAUAAUAUAUGAAAAACGUGUACAAUAUAUAUAUUCAAAAUGAUAAUAAUAUUAGAAAAACAUUAAUAGUACUAUAUAAAUAUAUACAUAUAUAUGUAGACACAUAAAUACUAAUUGAAACUAUAUUAGUACCGAUAAUAAUAACAGAAUAUUGAUAAUAGACAUAAUAAUGAUAUUAAUAUAAUAAUAUUAAAAUAAAAUAAAAUACGUAAGAGAGAGUGAAAAAGGAUAAAAUUUAAAUUAAAACAAUAUUUUGGGGUAAUUUUAAAGAAAAGAAAUAAAGGAAAAUAGGAUAGAUUUGGAUGCGCGCAAAACAAGGGAGGACUAAAAAAGCAAUUGUUCCUCCCAAAAAAAACAACACAGCAAGAGGGACUAAAUCGCAAAGCGAUAUCUACUUUAUGGCCAAAUUUAAAAAAUAAAGAAAAGUGGAUUGUGGAGUAAUUAAAGGAGGAGGGACCAACUGGGUAAAUAGCCCCUCAAACAGCGUUGGGUGCCCAGGUGCAAAAAAGGCACCGUUUGACCCAAGGUAUUUAAGUUAUUUUUUAUAUAUUUUUUUUUAUUUUUUUGCUUCAUUCUAGUUUAAACAAAACAGAGAAGCCCUCCCCACCCUUUUUCCUUUUCAAUUAGGGUUUUUGAAACCGCUUUUUGCGUCGCCGUCUUCAUGGCUCUCUAAAGCCGCUGAGUUCUUCGCCGGCGACGGUGGUCAAAGCCACCAAGAUCCAGAUAAGUUUCUUCUUUUUCUUAUUUAAAAGAUUAUAGUGGAAAUGAUGAUAUAAAUCGAAGAAAAAAAAUUAAUAAAUAACGAAAAUGAACUAAAGAAAUAAGGGAAACAGAAAUUAAAAUCCACCUUCUUUCUUCUGUUGCUCCGCUUUUGAUUUUCAAUAUAUGUGUCUAAUAGUAUCCUCUUUUUUAAGAAACAGAACAGCAAUAUAUAAAAGAGAUCCCCAAAAAAAAAUCCCCUUUUUUUUUCUUUUUGUUUAGCUUCUAUAGCCAUUUCCAUUGUUUUUUUUAACCCUUUUUGCUGCUUGCGUGUCUGCUCCAUCUUGCAGAGUAGUUGAUGGCGGUGGAAUGGGGGUUGACAGAGACGAUGGGACAGAGGCGGCGGCUGGUGGAGGCAGGUGGCUGCCAGUGCUAGGGUUUUUCCUUUUUAUUGUUUUUCAUUAUUGGUUUGGGCUAGGUUAGUGAUUUGGACUGAUGUAAUUUGGGUUUGGGUAUUUGUAUUUGUUUGGUUGGGUUUUAUUGGGUUCUGGGCUGUUUGUUUAGAAAUUGGGUUUUGGGUUGUUGGUUGUAAAUGGGUAAUUUGGGCUUCUACAAUAAUUAUUAUUUCUUGUAUGUAUGUAUUUAUUACACAUGUAUUUAUUUUUACCACACAAUUGUCAUAAUUUGGUUUAUUUACUUAUUUAAUCCUUCAACUUUUCUUUAUUCUAUAAUUAAGCUUUUACACUUUAUUCAAUUUAAUCCUUAUACCUAAUUACCCUCAAUUUAAAACUAAUUCACCUAUCCAAAAU
rnacentral:lncRNA from 1 species